GUGUCAGCCGCCGCGGUAAUACCGGCAGUCCGAGUGAUGACCGAUCUUAUUGGGCCUAAAGCGUCCGUAGCUGGCCAUGCAAGUCCAUCGGGAAAUCCGCGCGCUUAACGCGCGGGCGUCCGGUGGAAACUACAUGGCUUGGGACCGGAAGACCAGAGGGGUACGUCCGGGGUAGGAGUGAAAUCCCGUAAUCCUGGACGGACCACCGGUGGCGAAAGCGCCUCUGGAAGACGGAUCCGACGGUGAGGGACGAAAGCUCGGGUCACGAACCGGAUUAGAUACCCCCGUAGUCC
rnacentral:rRNA from 1 species